rfam:Gossypium raimondii Chr08_contig_694, whole genome shotgun sequence.
CUGGUUGAUCUUGUCAGUAGUCAUUUGCUAGUCUCAAAGAUUAAGCCAUGCAUGUGUAAGUAUGAACAAAUUUAGACUGUGAAACUGCGAAUGGCUCAUUAAAUCAGUUAUAGGUUGUUUGAUGGUAUUUGCUACUCGGAUAAUCGUAGUAAUUCUAGAGGUAAUACGUGCAACAAACCCCAACUUCUGGAAGGGAUGCAUUUAUUAGAUAAAAGGUUGACACAGGCUUUGCCCGUUGCUCUGAUGAUCCAUGAUAACUCGACGGAUUGCACGACCUUUGUGUCGGUGAUGCAUCAUUCAAAUUUCUACCCUAUCAACUUUUUAUUGUAGGAUAGUGGCCUACUAUGGUGGUAACGGGUGAUGGAGAAUUAGGGUUCGAUUCUGGAAAGGGAGCUUGAGAAACGGCUACCACAUCCAAAGAAGGCAGCAGGCGCGUAAAUGACCCAAUCUUGACACGGGAAGGUAGUGACAAUAAAUAACAAUGCCGGGCUCUAUGAGUCUGGCAAUUGGAAUGAGUACAAUCUAAAUCUUUUAACGAGGAUACAUUGGAGGGCAAGUAUGGUGCCAACAGCCACGGUAAUUCCAUUUUCGUAAACCAAACGUA